UAGGGAAUCUUCCGCAAUGGGCGAAAGCCUGACGGAGCAACGCCGCGUGAGUGAUGAAGGUCUUCGGAUCGUAAAACUCUGUUAUUAGGGAAGAACAAAUGUGUAAGUAACUAUGCACGUCUUGACGGUACCUAAUCAGAAAGCCACGGCUAACUACGUGCCAGCAGCCGCGGUAAUACGUAGGUGGCAAGCGUUAUCCGGAAUUAUUGGGCGUAAAGCGCGCGUAGGCGGUUUUUUAAGUCUGAUGUGAAAGCCCACGGCUCAACCGUGGAGGGUCAUUGGAAACUGGAAAACUUGAGUGCAGAAGAGGAAAGUGGAAUUCCAUGUGUAGCGGUGAAAUGCGUAGAGAUAUGGAUGAACACCAGUGGCGAAGGCGACUUUCUGGUCUGUAACUGACGCUGAUGUGCGAAAGCGUGGGGAUCAAACAGG
rnacentral:rRNA from 1 species